rnacentral:rRNA from 1 species
CCUACGGGUGGCAGCAGUGGGGAAUAUUGCACAAUGGGGGAAACCCUGAUGCAGCGACGCCGCGUGAGUGAAGAAGUAUUUCGGUAUGUUAAGCUCUAUCAGCCGGGAAGAAAUAGCGACCUUUGGGUCGCCAGACGGUACCUGAUUAAGAAGCCCCGGCUAACUACGUGCCAGCAGCCGCGGUAAUACGUAGGGGGCAAGCGUUAUCCGGGUUUACUGGGUGUAAAGGGGGCGUAGACGGCAGCGCAAGUCUGAAGUGAAAUACCGGGGCUUAACCCCGGAACUGCUGUUGAAACUGUGCAGCUAGAGUGCAGGAGAGGUAAGUGGAAUUCCUAGUGUAGCGGUGAAAUGCGUAGAUAUUAGGAGGAACACCAGUGGCGAAGGCGGCUUACUGGACUGUAACUGACGUUGAGGCUCGAAAGCGUGGGGAGCAAACAGGAUUAGAUACCCCUGUAGUC